GGCGGGCCGCCCCGCAUUGCAUGGUGGUGAACCUGGUCAGGUCCGGAAGGAAGCAGCCAUAGCCGACCUCCGCAAGUGCCGGGGGUACGGCUCGCCACC
rnacentral:SRP_RNA from 1 species